rnacentral:rRNA from 1 species
GACUGGGAUAACUCCGGGAAACCGGGGCUAAUACCGGAUGGUUGUCUGAACCGCAUGGUUCAGACAUAAAAGGUGGCUUCGGCUACCACUUACAGAUGGACCCGCGGCGCAUUAGCUAGUUGGUGAGGUAACGGCUCACCAAGGCGACGAUGCGUAGCCGACCUGAGAGGGUGAUCGGCCACACUGGGACUGAGACACGGCCCAGACUCCUACGGGAGGCAGCAGUAGGGAAUCUUCCGCAAUGGACGAAAGUCUGACGGAGCAACGCCGCGUGAGUGAUGAAGGUUUUCGGAUCGUAAAGCUCUGUUGUUAGGGAAGAACAAGUGCCGUUCAAAUAGGGCGGCACCUUGACGGUACCUAACCAGAAAGCCACGGCUAACUACGUGCCAGCAGCCGCGGUAAUACGUAGGUGGCAAGCGUUGUCCGGAAUUAUUGGGCGUAAAGGGCUCGCAGGCGGUUUCUUAAGUCUGAUGUGAAAGCCCCCGGCUCAACCGGGGAGGGUCAUUGGAAACUGGGGAACUUGAGUGCAGAAGAGGAGAGUGGAAUUCCACGUGUAGCGGUGAAAUGCGUAGAGAUGUGGAGGAACACCAGUGGCGAAGGCGACUCUCUGGUCUGUAACUGACGCUGAGGAGCGAAAGCGUGGGGAGCGAACAGGAUUAGAUACCCUGGUAGUCCACGCCGUAAACGAUGAGUGCUAAGUGUUAGGGGGUUUCCGCCCCUUAGUGCUGCAGCUAACGCAUUAAGCACUCCGCCUGGGGAGUACGGUCGCAAGACUGAAACUCAAAGGAAUUGACGGGGGCCCGCACAAGCGGUGGAGCAUGUGGUUUAAUUCGAAGCAACGCGAAGAACCUUACCAGGUCUUGACAUCCUCUGACAAUCCUAGAGAUAGGACGUCCCCUGCGGGGGCAGAGUGACAGGUGGUGCAUGGUUGUCGUCAGCUCGUGUCGUGAGAUGUUGGGUUAAGUCCCGCAACGAGCGCAACCCUUGAUCUUAGUUGCCAGCAUUCAGUUGGGCACUCUAAGGUGACUGCCGGUGACAAACCGGAGGAAGGUGGGGAUGACGUCAAAUCAUCAUGCCCCUUAUGACCUGGGCUACACACGUGCUACAAUGGACAGAACAAAGGGCAGCGAAACCGCGAGGUUAAGCCAAUCCCACAAAUCUGUUCUCAGUUCGGAUCGCAGUCUGCAACUCGACUGC